rnacentral:lncRNA from 1 species
UUUAGGGGAGCCUCAAAUUUUGGAACAUGGCCCUGCUCCGCCACAAGCCUCUGAGAGCAUGUGGUCAGGCCUCGGUUGGAGCGAUCGUACACAGCACGUUGCCUUAGUGUAGGGCCAGGGGCAAGCCUGGGCCUUGAAGUCCACUGUCACACACCACCUCUGCCCCCUCCUCACUGACCAGCUCUUGGGCAAGUCGCCCUGCUUCUCUCAGUCAUUUCCUAAUUUGCAGGAAUCAGUCUAGUGCCUCGGAUGGCUGCGCUGAGAUACUGGAUGUGGAAGAGCUUAAAUGGGAGAAUGACAAGGGCCCCUCCCUUUUCUCUGGAGGAGUAUCUCUAUCCAGGGUGUGGAGUCCCCACCAGACCCUUCUACUCCUGGGAGCGGACCCCUGAACCCCAGCUGGUCCCCACCAGGGUGGUGGGGGAGAGGCGGGCAGGUGAUGCAGCAUUGAGAGGGGUCUCCUUGCAGCCCCCUCCAUCCUACCCACAGCUACAAAUCUUCAAUAUAUAAUUUGCUGUUAUCGCAGCAAUAAAUAAUUUUUGGCGACA